GGUUAAGCGACUAAGCGUACACGGUGGAUGCCCUGGCAGUCAGAGGCGAUGAAGGGCGUGCUAAUCUGCGAUAAGCGCCGGUAAGGUGAUAUGAACCGUUAUAACCGGCGAUACCCGAAUGGGGAAACCCAGUGUGAUUCGUCACACUAUCAUUAACUGAAUCCAUAGGUUAAUGAGGCGAACCGGGGGAACUGAAACAUCUAAGUACCCCGAGGAAAAGAAAUCAACCGAGAUUCCCCCAGUAGCGGCGAGCGAACGGGGAGGAGCCCAGAGCCUGAAUCAGCAUGUGUGUUAGUGGAAGCGUCUGGAAAGGCGCGCGAUACAGGGUGACAGCC
rnacentral:rRNA from 5 species